GCGGUUUUCUUGCACUGACCUUGGGAAGCCAGCUUAUGAUCUCAGGAUGAACCGAAAAAUGAUCUUUGUAUUACUAUUGUCAGGUUAUAUUUUUACAAAACCUGCUGCAACACAGAUUACAGUGGCACCUGAGAGUCAUGCUUCACCAGCUUCUUCGGCCAGUGCCAUUUCAACUACAGAGUCACCAGUUUAUGAGCGUAGAAUUACAACACCAGG